AAUCGAAUUAAGCAAACGCAAGUAAUCGAAUUAAGCAAACGAGUUUAUAGGAAGAAUUGAAAAGAAAUCAAAAUUAAACUGAAAUUAAUAAAAACCUCAAAGUGGAAUUCAAAUACAGCAAAUCAACUCUUUGGGAAUUAGCUCUCCAUGGUAUUCAUAUGUCAUAUUCUUUAUUUCAUGAAUUUUGAAUCCCCCAAUCCUAAAACUACUAAGUUGUUUAAAUAGAUCAAGGGAAUUUGGACUUAGUAGCAACCGACCCGAAAAAAUACAAAAUCGGCCCAAAAACUAAGUAUUUUCUUAAGUUUGAAAAUAAAACGAAUUAUUAGACUCUUCUUAACUCCUAAUCAGCUUCUGACUUCAACAUGAAACGUUUAGCUUAUCCUCUCAGCUUUCUAACGCAUAUUAGAACGCAACAAUCUGAUCCUCGUAGCUCAAGUUAUGAUCUGCAUAGUAACAAGGUAUCAAAUAACUAUUUAUGCUGAAAAUAAAGUACAUAAAUAAAAUAAAACAAAAAAUAAACUUAAAUAUAAAAAUACACUAAAAUAGUAAAAAUAAUAGAAUAAACUAUAGAGUUGCCUAAGUAGAAUAGUAGAAGAAUAUGUAUCAAAAUAC
rnacentral:lncRNA from 1 species